CGCGGGGUAGAGCAGCUCGGUAGCUCGUCGGGCUCAUAACCCGGAGGUCGCAGGUUCAAAUCCUGUCCCCGCUACCA
rnacentral:tRNA from 1 species